CAAAAUCAUCAUACAAUAUUCUGCGCUUGCAAAGCGCGGAUCAAGAUCUAGUGUUUAUGUUAAAUUUGAACAUAUAAACGGGUUUAUGAUUUUUGAUAGUAUCCAUUUUAUGCUGUUUAGGGUGUAGGGUUUAGAGUUUGAGGUUUCGUGUUCCAUGCGAGCCGUAUAUUAUGUCGUCUAUAUAUUUUUUGGUUGACUGAUAACAGGUAUAAUUUUAAAUUCUGUUUUGAUAUUGUUUCCAAAAAUCAGUCGAUUAAAUCUUUUAAAGAAGAAAAUUCGGCACAUACGGAAUGAUAUACACGAAUAUUCCUAUAAUGGAUUUGAAAUUCGUUAAAUUUAAUUUAAAAU
rnacentral:lncRNA from 1 species